UCUGCAGGCUGCAUCAUAGCCUGCCCGCUCUUCCCGCCCCUGAGUGGCGUUUUAGUUUUUAGGUGUUGUUUGGCAUGAUUUGGAUAGGUUAUUUAUUCCCAAAUGAAUGAAUGUCGUGAUGCCCGCCAGCCCUGCUCCACUACCUGCCGUUGGACUGUAGUCUCACCUCUCGCUGGUGGAAGAUCUAUAGGAAAAAGAUCAUUUCUAAAACUUCCUCCUCAUCAACUUCGUCCAAAGUUCGCAAAAUACUGAAAUUAAUGACUUCAUUUUGCCACCAAUGUCUUCCUCAAAUCCCACUCAAUGAGGCCCUAAUGAAAUGGAAGAACUGAAAAAGUCAGAAGCAAAGAGGAAGAGCAGCAGCCUCAAGAUUCCCUUGAAAUAACAGCUAUCAAUAACUGAGCUACCUCUUGUUAUCACAUAGGAUAUCUAUCCCUAUUGACUUUGCAUUUUUAGAAAAUUCUGAGAGGGAGAUUAGGGCUCUUUUGAUGUGGAAGCAAAUAAGUUAUGACUCUAAGACUCCUGGAUGAGUAUGAUGUAUACUUUGCUUGUGGGCCUGCAAUGGAUUACUAUCUGAAAUUGGACAAUAAAUUGUUAAAAAAAGAGGUGAGUUUACAUUAAAUUGUCAGCCACAUCACUGACCAAAAAGGCUGGUUUCA